rnacentral:lncRNA from 1 species
UCUAAUUAAAAAUCUAAGCUAAUAUCUAAAACUCCUAAUUAAUCAUAGAAUUUGAUUAAACUAAACAUGUUGCUCAUCAAGAAUUAAUCAUGUUUAAAACCUAAUUAAGUUAAUUAACAUGAAUUAAUCACAGCUUCAUGUUCGAAGGUCUGAGGUCUCAAAGAUUCGACAACACAAAGAUUCGAAGUGGUCCAUGAAGCUCAAAAUCUUUUAUGGUGUCGUUUGCUCUGGUGUCAACCGCACUUAAAUAGAGGAAGAAGAAAAACAUCAAAGAAG